GCCAGGUGUGGUGGCGCACGCCUGUAGUCCCAGCUAUUUGGGAGGCUGAGGCAGAAGAAUUGCUUGAACCUGGGAGAUGGAGGUUGCAGUGAGCCGAGAUCACGCCACUGCACUCCAGCCUAGGCGACAGAGCAAGACUCUGUCUCAA
rnacentral:SRP_RNA from 1 species